UAGGGAAUAUUGGACAAUGGGCGAAAGCCUGAUCCAGCCAUGCCGCGUGGUAGAUGAAGGCCCUCUGGGUUGUAAAUACCUUUUAUCUGGGAAGAAAUAUCUCAUUCUUGAGAAACUGACGGUACCAGAUGAAUAAGCACCGGCUAACUCCGUGCCAGCAGCCGCGGUAAUACGGAGGGUGCAAGCGUUAUCCGGAUUUACUGGGUUUAAAGGGUGCGUAGGCGGAAUUGUAAGUCAGUGGUGAAAGCCCCGAGCUUAACUUGGGAAUUGCCAUUGAUACUGCUUUUCUUGAAUACGAUUGAGGUAAGCGGAAUGUUGCAUGUAGCGGUGAAAUGCUUAGAUAUGUUACAGAACACCAAUUGCGAAGGCAGCUUACUAAGUCGUUAUUGACGCUGAGGCA
rnacentral:rRNA from 1 species